rnacentral:rRNA from 1 species
GACGAACGCUGGCGGCGUGCUUAACACAUGCAAGUCGAACGGAAAGACCCUGCUUUUGUGGGGUGCUCGAGUGGCGAACGGGUGAGUAACACGUGAGUAACCUGCCCUUGACUUUGGGAUAACUUCAGGAAACUGGGGCUAAUACCGGAUAGGAGCUCCUGCGGCAUGGUGGGGGUUGGAAAGUUUCGGCGGUUGGGGAUGGACUCGCGGCUUAUCAGCUUGUUGGUGGGGUAGUGGCUUACCAAGGCUUUGACGGGUAGCCGGCCUGAGAGGGUGACCGGCCACAUUGGGACUGAGAUACGGCCCAGACUCCUACGGGAGGCAGCAGUGGGGAAUAUUGCACAAUGGGCGGAAGCCUGAUGCAGCAACGCCGCGUGCGGGAUGACGGCCUUCGGGUUGUAAACCGCUUUCGCCUGUGACGAAGCGUGAGUGACGGUAAUGGGUAAAGAAGCACCGGCUAACUACGUG